ensembl:lncRNA
AUAUCCAUCUUCGGCUGUUUGGAUGGUUACCUGGAAGGACUAGCACCAUUUUCUUCAUAAUAACAUUUUUAUAAAUUGUAUCCAAAGGCUGGCAUACCUAGCAUGGAACUUUUUAAUGAUGUUCAGAAUAUUCUGGCCGACUAAUGUGAGUACAGUUAUAGCUCUUUCCAAAGAGCUAAUUCCACAAGGGAAAUGUACUUUUUUUCCCCUUAAUUGAUCCAUUGCUAAAUUGCUUCAGUUGUGUCCUACUCAUUAUGACCCUAUGGACCAGAGCCUACCAGGCUACUCUGUCCAUAGGGAUUUCCAGGCAAGAAUACUGGAGUGGGUUGCCACGUUCUCCUCCAGGGGAUCUUCCUGACCCAGCAUAAAUUCUAAAAUCUAGCAAGAAGAGCAGGACUUUCUGGCACAGAAAAUUUGCGAGAUGGGAUCUUCCUGACCCAGGGAUCAAAUUCGCAUCUCCUCCAUCUCCUGCAUUAAUACAUGGACUCUUUACAGGGGGAAAUCUGGAGACAGACAUGUUUACCUGGAAGAAAUGUGAACCAUGUGAGCAUUCAGAUGGCAACCUACAAGCCAAGGAAAGAAGCCUGAAAUGGAUCCUUCCCUCAAACCUCAGAGGGUACUCACCCUGCCUACACCCUGCUUCAGACUGCUAGCCUCCAGAACUGUGAGAUAACAAAUUUCUGUUCUGUAAGCCACUCAGUUUGUGAUGGCUCAUUGUGACAUCCCUGGCAAAUUAAUACAAGUGCUUUUUUACCUCCUGGAAAAAAAGUUAGUAUUUAUAUAUCAAGUGCAGAGAUUUGGUCAUUCUUAUUCCUCAGUUCACAGCAUACUAUCAUCUGAGCCUUUGAACCAUUUUUAUUUCAUUUCUGAUUGUGUUCUGCAUCUCUUUUCAUCUCCAGUCCCAUGCCUAUUUUGCCUAUAGAUGUCCUUGCUAAUAUCUUAAAUGCACACACUGCUUCUGACCCACUUUAUAUACAUUUAUACAUGUAUGGAGAAUGCAGCCUUGAAAGACACUAGUGCUGCCUUCCAUGUGUUUGCUUUGAAUCUGAAUUAUGACAUUGUUUGAUAAACCGUGCUCUACUUCUAACUUGGUUUACGCGAUGCGAUUCUGCUCUGUCGCCAGAGUUCAUUAUUUUCGACUGCUGUGUAGUAUUUCACUGUCAUACACCACGUUUACCCACCUCCACAUCGAAUUAUGGAUAUCCAGUGACAUCCAGCUCCUUGCUACCACUGACAGUGUGAUGCACCACUUUUGAGCUUGUCCAUGACCUUGUUGCUAAAAGUGCUCUCUAUUUAGGAAUCCUCACAAAGAAAUUUUUAGUAAAAUAAUGUCUUUCACCAGAUGAGAUAUUAUUUCUGCUCAAAUGUCUUCUUAUUCAUUGUAUUAUUGGAUGCAAUGAGCAAUCUCAUAAAGUAAGGAUGAAAUUAUCAAUCCUAUUCCGUUGACGAAUAAGCAGGGUCUUAGGGAUCUGGAGAUGUUUAAGGCUUACCUAAAUGGUCAGUAGAAGAUUUAAAAUGGAAUCCAGAUCUCCUGUCUUCUAGAUGGAGGUGAUGGUAAAUGGGUGUAUGGGAAGGGUGAGAGGAUGGAAGUGAAAACUGCAGAGUGUGUGUGUGUGUGCAUAUUC